rnacentral:rRNA from 1 species
GGCCUAACACAUGCAAGUCGAGCGGUAACAGAUCCAGCUUGCUGGAUGCUGACGAGCGGCGGACGGGUGAGUAAUGCAUAGGAAUCUGCCCGAUAGUGGGGGAUAACCUGGGGAAACCCAGGCUAAUACCGCAUACGUCCUACGGGAGAAAGGGGGCUCCGGCUCCCGCUAUGGGAUGAGCCUAUGUCGGAUUAGCUAGUUGGUGAGGUAACGGCUCACCAAGGCCACGAUCCGUAGCUGGUCUGAGAGGAUGAUCAGCCACAUCGGGACUGAGACACGGCCCGAACUCCUACGGGAGGCAGCAGUGGGGAAUAUUGGACAAUGGGGGAAACCCUGAUCCAGCCAUGCCGCGUGUGUGAAGAAGGCCCUCGGGUUGUAAAGCACUUUCAGCGAGGAAGAACGCCUAGCGGUUAAUACCCGCUAGGAAAGACAUCACUCGCAGAAGAAGCACCGGCUAACUCCGUGCCAGCAGCCGCGGUAAUACGGAGGGUGCAAGCGUUAAUCGGAAUUACUGGGCGUAAAGCGCGCGUAGGUGGCUUGAUAAGCCGGUUGUGAAAGCCCCGGGCUCAACCUGGGAACGGCAUCCGGAACUGUCAAGCUAGAGUGCAGGAGAGGAAGGUAGAAUUCCCGGUGUAGCGGUGAAAUGCGUAGAGAUCGGGAGGAAUACCAGUGGCGAAGGCGGCCUUCUGGACUGACACUGACACUGAGGUGCGAAAGCGUGGGUAGCAAACAGGAUUAGAUACCCUGGUAGUCCACGCCGUAAACGAUGUCGACCAGCCGUUGGGUGCCUAGCGCACUUUGUGGCGAAGUUAACGCGAUAAGUCGACCGCCUGGGGAGUACGGCCGCAAGGUUAAAACUCAAAUGAAUUGACGGGGGCCCGCACAAGCGGUGGAGCAUGUGGUUUAAUUCGA